GGACCCAUAGCUCAGCUUGGAUAGAGCGUCGGCCUGCGGAGCCGAAGGUCAGGGGUUCAAAUCCCCUUGGGUCCG
rnacentral:tRNA from 3 species